UACAGAGGGUGCAAGCGUUAAUCGGAGUUACUGGGCGUAAAGGGCGCGUAGGCGGUUAUAUAAGUUGGAUGUGAAAUCCCCGGGCUUAACCUGGGAAUGGCAUUCAAGACUGUAUAACUGGAGUCUUGUAGAGGGUAGUGGAAUUUCCGGUGUAGCGGUGAAAUGCGUAGAGAUCGGAAGGAACAUCAGUGGCGAAGGCGGCUACCUGGACAAAGACUGACGCUGAGGCGCGAAAAGCGUGGGGAGCAAACAGG
rnacentral:rRNA from 1 species